rnacentral:rRNA from 1 species
UACGGGGGGAGCAAGCGUUGUUCGGAAUCACUGGGCGUAAAGGGCGUGUAGGCGGUCAGGUAAGUGGGAUGUGAAAUGCCCCGGCUCACCCGGGGACCGGCAUCCCAUACUGCUUGGCUUGAGUACGGGAGAGGAUGUGGGAAUUCCUGGUGUAGCGGUGAAAUGCGUAGAUAUCAGGAGGAACACCGGUGGCGAAGGCGCACAUCUGGCCCGAUACUGACGCUGGAGGCGCGAAAGCUAGGGGAGCAAACGGG